GGUGAAGUGUUCGGAUUGCGGCGACGUGGGCGGUUCGCUGCCCGCGACGUUGUGAGAAGUCCACUGAACCUUAUCAUUUAGAGGAAGGAGAAGUCGUAACAAGGUUUCCGUAGGUGAACCUGCGGAAGGAUCAUUG
rnacentral:rRNA from 1 species